GACGAACGCUGGCGGCGUGCUUAACACAUGCAAGUCGAACGGAAAGGCCCUGCUUUUGUGGGGUGCUCGAGUGGCGAACGGGUGAGUAACACGUGAGUAACCUGCCCUUGACUUUGGGAUAACUUCAGGAAACUGGGGCUAAUACCGGAUAGGAGCUCCUGCUGCAUGGUGGGGGUUGGAAAGUUUCGGCGGUUGGGGAUGGACUCGCGGCUUAUCAGCUUGUUGGUGGGGUAGUGGCUUACCAAGGCUUUGACGGGUAGCCGGCCUGAGAGGGUGACCGGCCACAUUGGGACUGAGAUACGGCCCACACUCCUACGGGAGGCAGCAGUGGGGAAUAUUGCACAAUGGGCGGAAGCCUGAUGCAGCAACGCCGCGUGCGGGAUGACGGCCUUCGGGUUGUAAACCGCUUUCGCCUGUGACGAAGCGUGAGUGACGGUAAUGGGUAAAGAAGCACCGGCUAACUACGUGCCAGCAGCCGCGGUGAUACGUAGGGUGCGAGCGUUGUCCGGAUUUAUUGGGCGUAAAGGGCUCGUAGGUGGUUGAUCGCGUCGGAAGUGUAAUCUUGGGGCUUAACCCUGAGCGUGCUUUCGAUACGGGUUGACUUGAGGAAGGUAGGGGAGAAUGGAAUUCCUGGUGGAGCGGUGGAAUGCGCAGAUAUCAGGAGGAACACCAGUGGCGAAGGCGGUUCUCUGGGCCUUUCCUGACGCUGAGGAGCGAGAGCGUGGGGAGCGAACAGGCUUAGAUACCCUGGUAGUCCACGCUGUAAACGGUGGGUACUAGGUGUGGGGUCCAUUCCACGGGUUCCGUGCCGUAGCUAACGCUUUAAGUACCCCGCCUGGGGAGUACGGCCGCAAGGCUAAAACUCAAAGGAAUUGACGGGGCCCCGCACAAGCGGCGGAGCAUGCGGAUUAAUUCGAUGCAACGCGUAGAACCUUACCUGGGUUUGACAUGGAUCGGGAGUGCUCAGAGAUGGGUGUGCCUCUUUUGGGGUCGGUUCACAGGUGGUGCAUGGCUGUCGUCAGCUCGUGUCGUGAGAUGUUGGGUUAAGUCCCGCAACGAGCGCAACCCUUGUUCACUGUUGCCAGCACGUUAUGGUGGGGACUCAGUGGAGACCGCCGGGGUCAACUCGGAGGAAGGUGGGGAUGACGUCAAGUCAUCAUGCCCCUUAUGUCCAGGGCUUCACGCAUGCUACAAUGGCUGGUACAGAGAGUGGCGAGCCUGUGAGGGUGAGCGAAUCUCGGAAAGCCGGUCUCAGUUCGGAUUGGGGUCUGCAACUCGACCUCAUGAAGUCGGAGUCGCUAGUAAUCGCAGAUCAGCAACGCUGCGGUGAAUACGUUCCCGGG
rnacentral:rRNA from 1 species